AAAAAAUGUUACAUAAUAUACUCGAGGGUAUAUAUAUAUAUAUAUAUAUAGGAGCGUAUAGAAGACAUCUUAUUGUGAAAGAUUAGAGGAUUAAAUUAUAACCUUUAGAUUAAUUUAAAGGAUCAGAUUAAAAUUAAUCAGAACUUAAACAACUCAAAUGAGAGCUCCCUGCCUUCUUCUUACUUUCUAAUGUGAAGAGACCAAAACAUGGCUUUAAUGGCUGCUAGGGUUUAGGGUUUGAAUUUGAGACUCAUGAUUCUGUAGAAAGAGAGGUGAACGCAAGAAGACGAGAGAGGGAAAGCACGCUGUUACUACUCACGCUGAUUUCCUUCUCCCCUUUGGCGCUUGCAGUGGCCGAGUACUCCUCCGCCUCGGCUGCAGUGAAAGAGUCGGAGAGCACGGGGUGAAAGACUACAAAUUCAAAUCAUGUGAUGUCAAUUAAGAGAUUUUAACAACUGUUUGCGAACCGCAGCAAGAAUUCCACAGUUCCGUGACCGGUUCAAUUCAAGGGAAGACCACUAUGUCAUCGUCAAUGACUUGCCCUUCCCUCGACAUUGAUAUUGAAGAGAAUCAAAGCCCUAAGUCUCACAUUUCUUCUGACCUUAACUCCACAAGUCCUAGGUCACCCACACCUCAGGAAAAUGAAUGGGCGCCGAAUUGUGAUGAAGAAUUGAAGCCCAAGGUUGGUCAACAAUUUGAUACCUUAGAAGAAGGUGAAAAUUUUUACAAAAGGUAUGCACAUAAUGUGAGAUUUAGUGUGUGUUGCUCAUCAGAAACUAAAGAUAAAGAUGGUGUGAAGCGUUGGAAGUAUUUUGUUUGCUCAAAAGAAGGUUAUAAACCAGAUAAGAAAAAAGUUGUGGAACAAAGCAACUCAACUAUUAAGUGAGAGUAUUACAAGAGAAGGAUGCAAUGCAAAGGCUGUUUUCAAACAAGUAAAGGAAGGUAAAUAUGAGCUAAUUCGAUUUUAUGAAAGUCAUACACAUAUCCUUGCUUCACCUAUGAAGAGACAAUUUCUAAGAUCAGCAAGGAAAAUGAAUCCUGUUCAUAAGAGUUUAUUGCAUUCAUAUAAUAGGGCUAAUAUUGGGCUUUCAAAAACGUACCAUCUAUUGAAAGAACAAUUUGGGGGUUAUGAAAAUUUGGGGUGCACACAAAGGGAUCUUCAAAAUUAUUCAAGAGAUUUAAAGACCCUAAUUAAAGAUUCUGAUGCACAUGUAUUUAUUGACAACUUUAGGAGGAAGCAAGAAAUUAAUCCAUCAUUCUACUAUGCAUAUGAGGUGGAUGAAGAAGGUAGACUAAAAUAUGUUUUUUUGGGCAGAUGGCAUUUUUAGGAAAAAUUAUUCCUUGUUUGGGGAUCUUGUUUCAUUUGAUACCACAUAUGAAACAAACAAAUAUUCAAUGAUUUUUGCUCCAUUUACUGGAGUAAACCACCAUAGGCAAUGUAUUACAUUUGGUGCGGCCUUUUUAGCGGAUGAGAAGGCUGAAUCAUUCAUUUGGUUGUUUGAAAAGUUUUUAGAAGCAAUGGGGGGCACCAACCAAAUCUUUUAAUUACUGAUCAAGAUCCUGCCAUGAAAAUUGCUAUAGAAAAGAUUUUUAAUUCUUCUUCUCAUAGAUUUUGUAUGUGGCACACUAUGAAGAAAGUUUCUGAAAAAGUAUGUGUGUCAUUGAAUGCUGAUAAGGAGUUCAAUAGUGAUUUCAAGUCAUGUGUUUGGAGAUCGGAGUCACCAGAUGACUUUGAAGAAACAUGAAAAUCUAUAAUAAUUAGGUUUAAAUUAGAAAAGAAUGAUUGGGUCUCACACAUGUAUGAUAUUCGAAGUAUGUGGAUCCCAGCUUACUUUAAGGAUGUUUUUUUAGCUGGGGUAUUGAGAACAACCUCAAGAUUAGAAAGUGAGAAUUCUUUUUACGGUAACUUUUUGAAUCCUCGUGUUAGCUUGGUUGAAUUUUGGAUGAGGUUUGAUUCUGCAAUAGAAGCAUAGAGGCAGAAGGAGUUACUUGCUGAUAAUGAUUCACUUCAUUCUAUGCCGACAUUGAAGUUGGAUCGCGAUUUGGAGAAGCAUGUAAGAAAUGUUUAUACUCAUGAGAAUUUUUAUAUAUUUCAAAAUGAGUUAUGGAUUGCAUGUUUAGAUUGUGGAGUUGAAAAUAAGAAAGAAGAAGAUGGAAAAGAAAUAUUGCAGGUAAUUGAUAAUAGUCAGGUCAAUAGUAAAAUACGAGAAGUUGUUUAUAAUCCUUCAAAUCACAAUGCAAAUUGUUCAUGCAAUAUGUUCAAAUCUCAUGGAAUACCUUGUAGACACAUACUUUGUGUUCUAAAAGGGAAGGGUUUAAAUGAAAUACCAAGUAAUUAUAUUGUGAAUAGGUGGACUAAGUUAGCAAAUAGAAAACCUAUUUUUGAUAUUGCUGACAAUGUCUUGGAAAGGUGUUCUAAAUCAGAAAGUGAAAGCAAGCUCAUCUCAGAUGCAUGGAAAACUUUUUAAAGUGCAUGGAGAAAGCUGGACAAAGUAAAGAAAAAUUGCUUGUUGUGAUAAAUGAAACCAUGGAUAUUGAAAAACAAUUGGUUUGAUUUUGAAGGGGAUUCUAAACAAACUAAUAUAGAUGAUUUACAUGCCUUUACUGGAUCCAAUAUCCCUAAAGAAGUGGAGAUUUUUCCACCACAAUUUUCAAAGACAAAAAGGAAGCGGCAAACGAAUUAAAGGUGGCAAAGAGAAGGCUGUUGAACAACAAAAAAGGACAAGGCUUUGUAAAGCAUGUGGACAACAUGCAUAUCAUGAUAGUCGUAAUUGUCCUCUAAAAUCAUCUCCUUAAUUUUGGAUGGACUCAUAAUUGAUAUGGUGGAGAUCACUUGCCUAAUGUCUCCUGAGUUUAGUUCCUCACUUAGAUUAUGAUUUAGAAUUUGGUUCAAAUUGUAUCUAGACAAAUGUGGUUACAUUUAAUUUUUCUGGUUUUUA